rnacentral:tRNA from 2 species
GCCGAGGUAGCAAAGUUGGUCAAUGCACGCGUCUGAAAAACGCGCCAUGUCAGUUCGAUUCUGACCCUCGGCA